UCCUGUAUCGAAAGUGAUUUUGGCAUGACGGUUGCCAGAUCAUUGAUAACGCAGGAAGACAAAAUCGAAAGUCUUUUCCCGUGUUUGCUGGAACUUCCAUUUCCUGUUAACCCUGUAUCUUUCAAACA